rnacentral:rRNA from 1 species
AUGUCCGGGCGUGGCAAGGGAGGCAAGGGGCUCGGCAAGGGCGGCGCCAAGCGCCACAGGAAGGUUCUGCGCGACAACAUCCAGGGCAUCACCAAGCCGGCGAUCCGGCGGCUGGCGCGGAGGGGCGGCGUGAAGCGCAUCUCAGGGCUCAUCUACGAGGAGACCCGCGGCGUGCUCAAGAUCUUCCUCGAGAACGUCAUCCGCGACGCCGUCACCUACACCGAGCACGCCCGCCGCAAGACCGUCACCGCCAUGGACGUCGUCUACGCGCUCAAGCGCCAGGGACGCACCCUCUACGGCUUCGGCGGCUAG